rnacentral:rRNA from 1 species
AAUUUUGGACAAUGGGGGAAACCCUGAUCCAGCUGUCCCGCGUGUAUGAUGAAGGCCUUCGGUUUGUAAAGUACUUUUGGCAGAGAAUAAAAGGUAUAUCUUAAUACGAGAUACUGCUGACGGUAUCUGCAGAAUAAGCACUGGCUAACUACGUGCUAGCAGCAGCGGUAAUACGUAGGGUGCAAGCGUUAAUAGGAAUUACUGGGCGUAAAGCGUGUGUAGGCGGUUCGGAAAGAAAGAUGUGAAAUCCCAGGGCUCAACCUUGGAACUGCAUUUUUAACUGCCGAGCUAGGGUAUGUCAGAGGGGGGUAGAAUUCCACGUGUAGCAGUGAAAUGCGUAGAUAUGUGGAGGAAUACCGAUGGCGAAGGCAGCCCCCUGGGAUAAUACUGACGCUCAGACACGAAAGCGUGGGGAGCAAACAG